AGAGUUUGAUCAUGGCUCAGAGUGAACGCUGGCGGCGUGCCUAACACAUGCAAGUCGAGCGAAGUGGCAGCUGUAGCAAUACAGUAUGUGCUUAGCGGCAGACGGGUGAGUAACACGUAGACAAUCUACCUCUUAGAGGGGGAUAGCCCGCCGAAAGGUGGGGUAAUACCGCGUAUAAUCACGGAUCGGCAUCGAGCUGUGAUGAAACGUCCGCAAGGAUGGCUAGGAGACGAGUCUGCGACCUAUCAGCUAGUUGGUGAGGUAACGGCUCACCAAGGCUACGACGGGUAACCGGCCUGAAAGGGUGUCCGGUCACACUGACACUGAGACACGGGUCAGACUCCUACGGGAGGCAGCAGUGAGGAAUUUUGGACAAUGGGGGAAACCCUGAUCCAGCGACGCCGCGUGGAGGAUGAAGGUCUUCGGAUUGUAAACUCCUUUUAUCUGGGACUAAGAAAUCCGUAGAAAUACGGGGAGUGAAGGUACCAGAUGAAUAAGCCACGGCUAACUUCGUGCCAGCAGCCGCGGUAAUACGAAGGUGGCAAGCGUUACUCGGAAUUACUAGGCGUAAAGGGCAGGUAGGUGGUUUGGUAAGUCUGUUGUGAAAGCUCUCGGCUUAACCGGGAGAGGUCAACAGAUACUGCCAGGCUUGAGUAUGGGAGAGGGUACUGGAAUUCCCGGUGGAACGGUGAAAUGUGCAGAGAUCGGGAGGAACACCAAUGGCGAAAGCAAGUACCUGGACCAUUACUGACACUCAACUGCGAAAGCUAGGGGAGCAAACAGGAUUAGAUACCCUAGUAGUCC
rnacentral:rRNA from 1 species